rnacentral:rRNA from 1 species
CAGCAGCCACGGUAAUACGUAGGGUGCAAGCGUUAAUCGGAAUUACUGGGCGUAAAGCGUGCGCAGGCGGUUAUAUAAGACAGAUGUGAAAUCCCCGGGCUCAACCUGGGAACUGCAUUUGUGACUGUAUAGCUAGAGUACGGCAGAGGGGGAUGGAAUUCCGCGUGUAGCAGUGAAAUGCGUAGAUAUGCGGAGGAACACCGAUGGCGAAGGCAAUCCCCUGGGCCUGUACUGACGCUCAUGCACGAAAGCGUGGGGAGCAAACAGGAUUAGAUACCCCCGUAGUCCCUGUCUCUUAUAA